rnacentral:rRNA from 1 species
GCCAGGGGGGGCAGCCUACACAUGCAGUCGAGCGAACCUUCGGGUUAGCGGCGGACGGGUGAGUAACGCGUGGGAACGUACCCUCUUCUGCGGGAUAGCCACUGGAAACGGUGAGUAAUACCGCAUACGCCCUUCGGGGGAAAGAUUUAUCGGAGGAGGAUCGGCCCGCGUUGGAUUAGGUAGUUGGUGGGGUAAUGGCCUACCAAGCCUACGAUCCAUAGCUGGUUUUAGAGGAUGAUCAGCCACACUGGGACUGAGACACGGCCCAGACUCCUACGGGAGGCAGCAGUGGGGAAUCUUAGACAAUGGGCGCAAGCCUGAUCUAGCCAUGCCGCGUGAGUGACGAAGGCCUUAGGGUCGUAAAGCUCUUUCGCCAGAGAUGAUAAUGACAGUAUCUGGUAAAGAAACCCCGGCUAACUCCGUGCCAGCAGCCGCGGUAAUACGGAGGGGGUUAGCGUUGUUCGGAAUUACUGGGCGUAAAGCGCACGUAGGCGGAUUGGAAAGUUGGGGGUGAAAUCCCAGGGCUCAACCCUGGAACUGCCUCCAAAACUCCCAGUCUGGAGUUCGAGAGAGGUGAGUGGAAUUCCGAGUGUAGAGGUGAAAUUCGUAGAUAUUCGGAGGAACACCAGUGGCGAAGGCGGCUCACUGGCUCGAUACUGA